rnacentral:tRNA from 1 species
GUGGGGGAUAACCUUAAGACUGAAAAUCGCAGUGUCGGUGGUUCGAUUCCGCCCCUGGGCACCA